rnacentral:lncRNA from 1 species
GGUGCAUCUCAAAUGUGUGUUAGUAUCAAGUCUCACACAUAUGAUGACUCAUGUUACAGAAACGAAUGUAACAUUUUUAAUAUAUAAUGGAGUUUUAUACAAAAUAGUUAAAUAAUUAUAUCAUACGAAGACAACAAUCCAGCAACCAUAGUUAACUCGGAGACGACGGUCUAGACCUCUCACGAACUCAUCGUGACCUCCUUCAUGCUCCUAAUCUUGUGGUACAUGUUCAUGACCUGGGGAUGUGAGUACAUCAAGGGUGAACUCACAUACGUUCAUCGCUCAAUAAGUUGUGGAGAAUAAUGUGCAUGAGCUCACUUACGGUGAGGCUCAUGUGAAGUGUAAGGCUUACCGAAGGAGAUUAUUAAAGUUGAACAUUGCUUUUAAAGUUGGUCAAAGUUUUAUUAGCAGUUACUAAGUCUAAGUAGAUACCAACCCAAAUAUAUAAGAGAUCACAAUUAAUAAUAAAAUCACAAUGCAAUGAAAUGACAAAUUAAGUUUACUUCCAUAAAUUAAUCAUGUGAGUGUCUGAGCCGCUCAUGACCGUGAGCAUAGCUGAUAUACCAGUUUUACUGUCAGGGCCUAAGGAGGCCCAGGGAGGGGCUGCGGCACCAGCAGCCAUGGGCCCUCCAAGGGGAUUAGAUAAGGAUAGUUAAAGAUAAGAUUAGAAGAUUAGUUGAUAUUAUUUAUGAGAUUAGUUGAGAUUAUCUAGGAAGAUUAUCAGUUAGUUUGUUCAGAGAUUUUAGGAGAGUUUUAAGAAGAUAAGGAUCUCUAGCUAGAUAGACAGGGGCGACCAGUCAACCUAUUUAUGCAAUCAAUGGAUGAGAAAUAAAGUAGGCAAGAAUUAGAAGGGAGAAACCUUCCUCUUGCUCGGUCGUGGACAGAGGCCCUCGGCCGACGUUCCUGCCCAUCGACACCCCUCUCCAAUCCCUCACCGAUCUAGCGACCAUAACAUCUUACACUAUGCAAAGGUUGCACAUCUUUACCCACAAGUCGUCUUACUCAUCUGUCACGGGGUCAUGAAUCCCAUACACAUCUACCGAGGAGGCGAGACAGGAUAGCACUGCGAGACCUUUACAAAGUUUCACUAGCUUCAGAAAACCCGCUACAGUUUCUGAGAAGAGCAAUAUAGGGACCCCUCGUCCGAAAAGUCAUCGCAGCAUGAUCGGCCCGAGAAACUCCUUAUACCGCAGCUUCUCUACCGCCCUUGCCCCUUUCGGGGAAGGUAGCCCUCCACUAGUUUUCCUAAUUAGUCAGCCAUGAGCGUCCCAUACCAUUCUUGUGGUAACACUAUUUUCACGGGUGAUUCUCCAUGUUCCAAUGAACACAAUAAUCUUGUCAUGAACAAUAAUUAAAUCAACAAAAAAAUUGGAACAUGAUCAUAAUUCAGUAUAGCAUUAAUCCAAAAACCAGGUACAAAAAUAGAAAGUCUACACAAUAGUUAAUUUGUUUGCAAGAUGUGUGGUAAACAAAAUUAGGGUAACCUAUUAGGUCCCAUCAAAUUAUCAUGAGCAUGUCACCGUGAUUAAGCGGAGAACAUUAUUAGGUAGAGAAAAGUGAUCAAGGGCACAACUUGACUGUGACUCGAGUUUCCACACCAAGUUGGUCUUUAAAUUUCUCGUGACCUCGCUGCUACUCAUAGAAAUACAUACAAAUAGACAAGAGUACAUAAAAAUAAAAUUACACCAAACAUAAGAACAAACUGCGUAAGAAUUAUCUACACGUUGCCAUGAGAUUGUAGGUUCGAGAACCAUUAGAAUCGGGGUUAAAAUGAGAAAGUUAUGGGCUUUCUAUGUUUUAGGUGAUCAACCAGGAGAACUAUAAUCUAGGUUUGAUUAAUAUAAGCCAGCAAGGUUAUGACAAAUAAAUAACUAAUUUAUCUUUAAUUUUAGGUUAUAACUUGAUUAGAUGUUACAUUUUAGUCAAACUAUAGUUAUAGAUGUAUUAACUUUGAUUAGAAGGAAUAAUUUACUAAGCAUAGAUUAAAUGAAUAUUUAUUUGUGGAAACAUCUUAUUUACUAAAAUAAUGUCACGGAGGAAGCGUAGGUAAUGUUAUUACAAAGCUAACGCAACUGGAACGACUUAAAUCAGCGUUAAACCAAAUAAGUUAUAAAUUUAUUAACCUUCUAGAAUUGUUUUUAUGCUAAAAAUUCACUUUCUCAGAUUUAAUUUUAUAAUUAUUAAAGAAUCCGAACUGGGGAAACUAUUUUGUAAAAGAUCGCAGUUUAAUCUGCUAAAACAGGACUCAUUCGUAAUUACUUUUGACUAUGGAUGGACUGCGGGUUGAUUUGAACGAAACCCGAGGGCUCUUAUGAUAAAUCGCUCAUCCGAAGGGGUACAAAUGAUUUUGGGCCGCAGGUGAACAUGUAUGCAUCGGCCGCCCUUAGAUCGAGGAUCAACGACCCAGAUUUCUAAAGCACCAGAUGGGCACAGGUCCACCCAUUCUUAGAUCAAAGCGCCAGAUCGUUCAACCCCAAGCGGUAUGACGUCAAAUCUCUACCGCAUGUUGCAAGAUCAACAGCUCCUAGCCCACCCCUUUCCCUCAGCCACAUAUCACGGCGGCGCCGCCCUAACCGCGGCGGAGCUUCUCCGGUGAGUGAACAUCUAGGUGCCCCAGUGCCUAUUUCUACCCCGGUCAGCAGCUACGUGAUGCACCGAGCAUGGUGAAGAUGAUGGGGGUCUUACUAGGGUUCAGAGGCGAUAGAGAAGCCGACCCACGGUGAGUGGCAAAUCCACGACGGUGACACGCGCUGGUGAGCAAUUGCCCACGCUUGGGUCGAGGUCUUGGCUCGGCUAUCCCACGUACACACGCCGCACGCCGAGCGCAAACCCGGCGUCCCUCCUUGGUCCCUGAACAGCUUCUGAGGAUGAGGUACGUCGGCGACGACGGUCCAAGCUCCCAACGGUUCCCUCCCUCUCUCAAUGGCGAGGUCUGGUUUUAUAGGGGCGUGGAGUCCGCGGCCGCAACGAGCUCCAGAUCCCACCUAGGCCUUGUUCGCUUCGGCCGGGAUCAGUCUGGAUUGGAAAGAAUCCUCCCGGGAUCAGACCUCCGUGGUUGAAAUACCGGCCCACGCAAAAACAACGUUCGUUUAAGCCUGUUCGGGCGUCAACCCCGCCCAUCCCGGACGUUCCCACAUCAUCUCGACCGGGUUACAACCCUCG